UUUUUCUUUGAUAUUCUCUCUUUUUUUUUUCAACAGAGUGAUCUUCCUUCAGUGAGUGUUUCUUUCGAACCAUCGACUACAUUUUGUUUUCUCAUUUUUUUAUGGUUGUUUUUCUUCUUCUUCUUUUUUCUGCACUCAUCUUGGUUUUUGAUACUUAUAGGGUUUACCCUAAACUUAGAGUUUAACACAACUUAAUGACAUCACAUUGACUCCGAAU
rnacentral:lncRNA from 1 species